GAACUGCAACCCAAGUCACCUCAUCCAUCUUCACAAUAAUGGCCACAAAUUAGUUUCUCUAUUAAAUCUUCCCGCAAUGCAUUUGUUUAUUUGCUGCUCUGAAGCAACUGAAACUUUAGAAUUUCAAAAUCUAGAGUUUUAAUUCUUCUGAAACACACUAUGUGCCAGUUUGAUAUUUAAGAUAUACGGGGUUACAAUGUUUUGUUAAAAUACUUCAUAUAUUCACGAAAGGGGAGAGAAGGCAAUGCUCUCAAGUUUCCACAGACGCUGGCGCUUCUCAAAUUUUAUAGUUCAAAUUCUUCCUAGAGACGAAAGCAUCCACAGCAACAACGGCAGCGAUACUUGCACGUGGAUCAUAAUGCUAACCAUAAGCGACUCUCAGCCCUGCUCACCUCAUGAACAAACCGCUCCCGGUUUAUGUUAUCCUUGGAGAAACACAUCUUGGAAAGCAUGCAGGCACAGGGAACGCUGAGCUGCACAGUGUGCUCAGGACACUAACGAGGAGUCCUAUGAGGAAGGAGAGGAGCCCCCACGCAAAGACCCCUGGAGAAGUAUGCCUGCCAGGUCACACAAGUACGAAGGCACAGAGGCAGAAGAGUCACUAGUGAGAUCCAGGGAAGGAGUGAGCAGGCCUUUGGGACUGUGGUGUGGGGAGGAGGGCGAGUGCCACAGAAGUGGGAGAGUGAGGAAGGGGGGACAGGGACGGUCUCACAGCCCCACAGCAAACAGCCGGGCCUGGCAAUACCACAGUGACAGGUGGUUUUGAUAUUUUAUGUAUCAACAUAUUACAGAAUAUAUACGAGUGGCUAUGGAGCUUUACAGAAUUCUCAGGGUCUUUAUAGGAAAUCCAGAAAUACCAUUAGAGAUGAAUAACGGAGGUGCUAUAGUUUGAAUAAGUCACAAUACAGCAAUAAGAAAGUAAGUCAAAUUACACAAAGGAAAGGUAAAAAAAAAUUAAAAAAAAGAAAGAAUAAUUUAAAGAUUGACACUAAAGUAAUGAAUUUUGAGAAAAUUAUGAAACUACAAAUAGAGGAAUUUGGGAAGGGAUUCCAAAAAUCAAACUCACAAUCUCUCACUUGCCAAGCAGGCACAGUGCCACUGAGCUAUAGCCCCAUCUCAGAGGAUUUUAAAAUUGAAAACACCUUGCUACAAUACAGUUUUGGGCUAAUAACCAGAAUCCUUUUCUGGCUAGAAUUCAAUUAUCUUUUCCUUCUAGUAAUCUAAUGUAUUUAUUGCCAUACUCAGUGUAUUAAUGACAAUAUCAAUUUCCCUUACUACUGGUCUGUUCCUCCUCUUUCUCAUCUUCUCAGUACUGUUUUUUUUUUUUUUUUAAGUAACUAUUAUAUAUUGCCAAGAAAAGACUCAAAAUUGAGUAACCUAGAAACAUGUACAAAGAUCACAUUUCAUAAAUGCUAUCUCUUGUCCCUUUGGUGAGGAGGAGGGAUCUUCUAUGGAUAGAAGCAGAUUUUCAUAUGCUUUAGGGGCAUUGUAAGAUCCUCAUUCUUUCUGUGAUUUCAGCAAGAAUGAUUACAGUAUAGCAAAUUCUGAGCUAGGACCGUAACAGCUGUGGUCUCUAGAAACUCAAGAGAAUUCUGAGAUGGUCUACACAUAAAGGCAAAAUGUAAUUAGAAAGAUUUUUAUGUUCCCAACUGUACAAAGUUCAAAAUAUUUGCUUUUCCUUAACAUUUAGUUUUAUUUGUAUUAAUUGAAUUUUGCAUUGUUUGAGAAUUCUAAUUUUCUCUAGGUAUACAUUAAUUUCUUAGAAAAUUUAAAUAAAUUAUAAUUAGCUAUUUUUAUGUUGUGAAAAAAAGAAUGACAAAAUAUCUCAACUUCUUUGGACCUGCACUAGGAAGAAGAUGACUGAAUCCUUGUGCCAAAUCUGUUAUGAGGUAGAAAGGUGACCAGAACCACAGCUCUCCUCUUUCAACCAUGUCAUCCACACUCCCAGCAAACACUGAUCAGCCUGAUGAUAAGAAAGUCAAACUUCCUUUAACAGAAGUCAGGAGAGCAUACAAUCUGGCACACAACAGGCAUUAUACAAACAAUGUUCACCUGAAAAAGUCCAGCUUUCUCAUACCGUCACAGCUCUCAGGCUGGGGGAAUCACAAGUGCUUAAGAAUCUCUGGUCUUGGGGCUGGGGAUUUAGCUCAGCGGCAUAAGUGCUUGCCUUGCAGGCACUUGGUCGUGAGUUCGAUCCCUGGUAGCGAUAAAAAAACAAAAGAAUUUUUGGUCUUUCCAAACUGAUAAAAGAAGUCAACAUACUUUUCACAAAAAAAACUUUAGUCUGGAAUUCUUAACAAAGCUUAAAUUUAAAAGACUGUCAGAUAUCCAUCUUAAAACUAAGAUGGCAAGAAAUGAAAAUAAAAUAUGGAUGGCCAGAGAGCUAAAACAUCUACAAAUAAGAUCACAGAACACAUAAAACCUGGUCAUACUGGUGAAAAUAACCUUACCACCAUAAACAAAGUGAGCAGGAAAACCGUGUCCCCAAAGGAAAAUGUCAGAAGUUUGUAAGUGCAAAAACCAUACAGAAAAUACUAUUUCUAAGAAAAACCCAGUAAGUUUGACAAAAUCUUCCACAAAGAAAAUAUAAUCUCCAGAGGUUAAAAUGUAGGAUUAAAAAUAAAAAGCAGGUUCCAUCUCUUCAAAGGGAGAUUUAAAUCUCUAGGAGAUGGUAAAAUGUUGCAGGUUUAGUCUAAAAACAAAAAAAAAAAAAAAUAAACAAAACAAGUAGGACAGACAAGACUACAAGCAAAAAAUACAGCAUGGGCAAACUGCAAAUCUAAAAACGUCCUACAUAAUAAAACAGGUCAACAACUCUCAAACUUCAACUGUGAGAAACAAAACGAUCUAAUUAUAAAAAGGGAGAAAGACAGAACAGACAUUUCACCAAAAGACAGACACAGAUGGCAAAUAAACACAUAAGAUAUUCAACAUCAUUAAUAUACUCAAAUAUUCACAAGAGUUUUUGUUGUUGUUGCUGUUUGUUUUUGUAAAAGAAAAAAGUGAAAACAAUUCAAAUGACCUUCAGUGGGUGAAUGGUUAAAAAACUACGGUGCAUUUAUACCAUUAAAAAAUAAUGGUACUGUGGGAACAAUAAGAAAUGGACUACUGAUUAUACAACCUGAGUGAAGUUCAAAGACUAUGCUUAGCAAAAAAAACUCUCAAAAAAGUAGCACACUCUAUGAUUUCAUGUACAUAAAUAUUCUUGAACGCACAAAACUAAACAUCUGCGGAAAAGAUAACUGGUUGCCCAGCAGAUGAGUGAUUGCGUGAGUGGGGUACAAACGUAGAAGUGCAGAGUGAGAGGGUUCCUGAGACGGCGCAGCUCUUCCUCAUGGUGGCAGCUACUCUUAGCUAUAUGUGGGAUAAACGGCACAGGGACUGUAAUGGGUUAAGAAUUGGUGGUCAACUUAACGCCAGCUGGAUUACAUCACCAUGCAUUGAGCGAAGAUGCUCCACCUGAGGAAAGUUGCCAGGAUAAAUAGGUGGAGAAGGGAGCUGUAGAGGGCUGAGGCGUUAAGGAGGCAUUGUGGGUUCUCCUACGAGUUGCUCUCUGAGCUGUUGGUUCUCCUGGAGAAGCUCUGGUCCUCGCAUCAAGCACCACUUCCUAGCUCCAGAGGGGAAGACAUGUGCUGCCUGGUCUCCAGGAUGAGCUCAUCACGCUGCUUCCUGGCAUGUACCCGAUUGUGCUUGUCAUUGUCGGAGCUCGGGGCCUCCAUGUUGUUGAGGAUGGCUGUGGUGCCUUUCAGGACAGCCCUGGUCUUUGUUGUGAGUGUGACUUCUCGGCUCCAGCAUGGAACCCUCAUCCCACUAGCACAGCUCCUUCACCCCACUGGCAUAGACUUUCUGGCUUCCACCACUGACCCUUGGGUCUUCCGGGCACGGAUCCGUAAAAGAGACUGGCAUGAGUCUUUCUUGUGGGCUCUGGACCUCCAGCUGGACUCGUGGGAGGCAUUGUCCUGAGCUCUGGAUUUUUAUCUGGACUCAUGUGGGACAUUGCGGUGGGGUUUAGGCUCUUGACUAAAUAAUCUAUGUCUUUGGCAUUGCGGAUAGAUUUCCUGCAUUUUCCUGUGUUAACUCGCGGUGACCAUUAUAAAAAUAUUAUAACUCCAUGUCC